rnacentral:lncRNA from 1 species
UCACAGAAUACCAAAUGGGGAGAUUGUUAGGAUUUAUGUUAUAUUGGCAAUUUUGUAGACAAAAUACAAUCGUAGUUAAAUUGCAUUAGGAGUUUAUUGAGUUGUGAUCAAAGUCAAUCAAAGUCAAAAUAGGAGUUAUUGAAUCCUAAUUAAAGUCAAAAGAGUUGAGAUUAGUAGUAUAGUCCUUAAAGGAGUCCAAGAUGUCAAAGAAGAUCACGUGUGAUCAAGGAAAUACAAUUAGAAGUCUAAAGAGUUUUAAGGAGCAACAAAAGUUAUGUUUUAAAUUUUCAUUCAUAAUUGGUAACACGUUUUUCACAUAGGAAACAUUAGAAUUUGAACAAGGCUAUUUAAAAGAAUUGUAACUCUUUGAGUUAGCUUUUCAUCGUAUUUUGAAUUGACUCAAACAGACAUUGGAAGAGAAAGUUAUUAUAAAAAUACUGACAACUGCUCAGCAGUUGCUCACCUGUCACUUGUCUAGAGUUCGAGCAACGAUGUUACACAUUUUUCAAGAGUUUUAUCUAGCCCAUACUACCUAAUUAUCUCUUACUAUAAAUAUCCAAGCCCUUAUAUAUUUUGUGUGUGGUUGUUCAUAUAUUACUUUUUCAUAAUAUCAUUCCAAGAUCCAAGAAUAAGAUUACUGAAGAUUGAGGGAGGUCAGACCAAAAGAACGGAAGAGUACAAAAUAAGGUGUUCUUGAUGAGUCAUAGGAGAUAGACAACUUCAGAAAAUCAUGAACAAAUAUGAAUGAAUUACAAUAUCAAAAGAUCGGGAGAUUAUUAGCUUGGUCUUGAAGUUUUUACUCAGUUAGGUUUUCUCUGUCAACAUAUUUUGUGUUGUUUACCGCUUUGAUACAAUUGAUUGUGGCAUUCAAACUAUUGGAUAAUCUGAUGUGAUUAAUUAACUAUCUAGAAACAAUUAAAGAAUGACUUGUUUCUUUUAAUUGUAUAAUUCCUCACAUUCGGUCAAAAUAAAUUAGCUAAAUCUAAACUUUCAAGUAGUAUAAGAGCUUUUCAC